GUCAAGCCUUUUACUGAAGACCUCCAUGGCUAGACCUGGUUGUCUCUCCAAUAAAGAGAAGCAGAGAAAGGACAACACUCUAAUGAGAUACGUCUGUGUUGAGAGAACAGCUGAGGUGAUUUGCCACAAUACAGACUUCGUUAGGCUACAUACAGUAAGUACAGAGGUGCAGUCCAGGUCUGAAUGUUGGUCAAAUGUACAGAUCUCAUGACUCAACCAAACAUAGCAGGCUGAAAAGACCACUUGGUGUACAUUAGCCAAAUAUUAUAUGCAGUCAUAGCCAUUAUGGGAACAUUCUGUGUAGUCAAAGCAGUUAGGGGAACAUUCUGUGUAGUCAUAGCCAUCAGGGGAACAUUAUGUGUAGUCAUAGCCAUUAUGGGAACAUUCUAUGUAGUCAUAGCAGUUAGGGGAACAUUCUGUGUAGUCAUAGCAGUUAGGGGAACAUUCUGUGUAGUCAUAGCCAUUAUGGGAACAUUCUGUGUAGUCAUCGUCAUCAGGGGAACAUUCUGUGCAGUCAUAGCCAUUAGGGGAACAUUAUGUGUAGUUAUAGCAGUUAGGGGAACAUUCUGUGUAGUCAUAGCUAUUAGGGGAACAUUCUAUGCAGUCAAAACCAUUAGGGGAACAUCAUGUGUAGUCAUAGCUAUUAGGGGAACAUUCGGUGUAGUCAUAGCAGUUAGGGGAACAUUCUGUGUAGUCAUAGCAGUUAGGGGAACAUUCUGUGUAGUCAUAGCCUUUAGGGGAACAUUCUGUGUAGUCAUAGCAGUUAGGGGAACAUUCUGUGUAGUCAUAGCCUUUAGGGGAACAUUCUGUGUAGUCAUAGCAGUUAGGGGAACAUUCUGUGUAGUCAUAGCAGUUAGGGGAACAUUCUGUGUAGUCAUAGCCUUUAGGGGAACAUUCUGUGUAGUCAUAGCAGUUAGGGGAACAUUCUGUGUAGUCAUAGCCUUUAGGGGAACAUUCUGUGUAGUCAUAGCCAGUAGUUGUACAUGCACUCCUUGUAUGUUCCUGUGUUUGAACUGCAAAAGGUUGAUUAUCCAGUGAACAUUUCCUCUUUAAUGCUUUUCCCGUGCUUAUCAAUGGUUAGUCUCCACGCCCAGCGUACUUCUGGAGGUGAUGGAUCUAA
rnacentral:lncRNA from 1 species